rnacentral:rRNA from 1 species
AACGAACGCUGGCGGCAUGCCUAACACAUGCAAGUCGAACGAGACCUUCGGGUCUAUUGGCGCACGGGUGCGUAACGCGUGGGAACCUUCCCUUAUGUUCGGAAUAACUCCCCGAAAGGGGUGCUAAUACCGGAUAAUGUCUUCUGACCAAAGAUUUAUCGCCUUUGGAUGGUCCCGCGUUGGAUUAGCUAGUUGUUAGGGUAAAAGCCUACCAAGGCGACGAUCCAUAGCUGGUCUGAGAGGAUGAUCAGCGACACUGGGACUGAGACACGGCCCAGACUCCUACGGGAGGCAGCAGUGGGGAAUAUUGGAAAAUGGGCGAAAGCCUGAUCCAGCAAUGCCGCGUGAGUGAUGAAGGCAUUAGGGUUGUAAAGCUCUUUUAACCGGGAUGAUAAUGACAGUACCGGGAGAAUAAGCUCCGGCUAACUACGUG